rnacentral:lncRNA from 1 species
NNNNNNNNNNNNNNNNNNNNNNNNNNNNNNGAGGGGCGGCCGCGGCGGAUGCCUUUCCCGCGCUGCUUGGGCAGGGGGAGCCGGGAGAGACGGGGCGUCGCGGCUCACGGGCGUCCCCUGCUCCCAAACCGGGACCGGGCUCGGCACGGCGGCGCUGCGGAGUGCGGCUAGUGCCCUGUGCAGGCGCCGGCCGAUUCCCCCCCCGCGUGUUGUGUCCGACCUGCUCCGACGUUCGGCAGCAGCCCUGACCUGGCCGCCCUGCCCGGAGCCGGGGUGGCAGCGGGACCCUUCGCCCGGCAGCAUCCUCACUAACGCCGGGGGACCCGGCAUGCUGCGGUGCUGCCCGGCCGCAUCCGGAGCAGAGGAAGGGAUGAGGGGGGCGAUUCCUGCCCCUCGCAGCGAAGGGCGCCUGGGAGAGGUGCGGAGGCUGCCGGGAAAGCCUGUCCCUGCGCAGGCGGUGCACGGUGAACGGCCUCGAGGCCGCGGGUUGCACGGUGCACGGGUCAGGCCACGGGACGCGUCGCGUGUUGCGUGUGUCGGGGCUGCAGUGAAGGCAACGGGCGCUGCAUGGGCCCCAAGGACCGAACCCGGCGGCUGGCUGCGCCCCGCAGCACCGUGCACGGCGGACAUGUGCCCGGGGAYGUCCUUGCCGCUCCGACACCGCCACGACCAGCCUCCUUCGGGCUCCCCCGGCCCCAGCGCCCAUCGCCUGCUGGAGCUGGGGCAGGGGCUUGGCCGGGGGAUGCCCCUGCAUCCGGCUUCGACAGCAUCGGCAGCUGCUGGGAGGGAUGUCGAGGAGGUGCGAGGAGCUGUCCCAGUCCCGCAAGGAAGGAGGCACCGGCACCAAGCGCCACGGCUCGAGCGGGUGCUGGCCGCGUUGCUCCGUGCCGGCCGCCCCGCAGCCAGCCCCCGGGAUCGCCGCACGAACGCCUCUGCCUGCUUCUGCAACGGGAUAUUUGGAUUAAAGCCCGCGCCCCCAGCAGCCCGCGCUGCAYGGGCAGACCCUGCUCCCGCAGGCUCUCCGAGACGUCCCUGCUUCGGGACAGCAGCGAUGGGAGGCCGCGGGGCUCRACGGCCUCAGCCGAAGCUCCCGCCRGCGCUUCCRGAGCCGUCKCCCUCGGGGAGGAYGUGYGAGGAUGCAKYCACGCUCCGGCCYGGCGCUCCCUCCUUCCRCCGGGCGCCGCGGGGCACUGGGGCAAGCACCCGGCUCUUCCCCCGUCUCCUCUCUCCCUCUCCCUCGUUUUCCUCCGUAUUUCACAGUUCCUGCUUCCUGCACAAGCCAGAGGUCUCCAGGGACUCCAGCCAGAUGUUCGCUGCAGCACACCACAUUGCUUUCCUAAUGAAAUAUUCAUGGAGCCUCUCCGCCUUUUGCCACGGAAGCCUCCCGCAGCUCCAGCC